UACAGAGGGUGCGAGCGUUAAUCGGAAUUACUGGGCGUAAAGCGUGCGUAGACGGUUAUCUAAGUCGGAUGAGAAAGCCCCGGGCUCAACCUGGGAAUUGCAUUCGAGACUGCAUGGCUGGAGUGCGGCAGAGGGGGAUGGAAUUCCGCGUGUAGCAGUGAAAUGCGUAGAUAUGCGGAGGAACACCGAUGGCGAAGGCAAUCCCCUGGGCCUGCACUGACGCUCAUGCACGAAAGCGUGAGGAGCAAACAGG
rnacentral:rRNA from 1 species